rnacentral:rRNA from 1 species
AACGAACGCUGGCGGCAUGCCUAACACAUGCAAGUCGAACGAGACCUUCGGGUCUAGUGGCGCACGGGUGCGUAACGCGUGGGAACCUGCCCUUAGGUUCGGAAUAACUCCCCGAAAGGGGUGCUAAUACCGGAUAAUGUCUUCGGACCAAAGAUUUAUCGCCUUUGGAUGGGCCCGCGUUGGAUUAGCUAGUUGGUAGGGUAAGAGCCUACCAAGGCGACGAUCCAUAGCUGGUCUGAGAGGAUGAUCAGCCACACUGGGACUGAGACACGGCCCAGACUCCUACGGGAAGCAGCAGUGGGGAAUAUUGGACAAUGGGCGAAAGCCUGAUCCAGCAAUCCCGCGUGAGUGAUGAAGGCCUUAGGGUUGUAAAGCUCUUUUACCCGGGAUGAUAAUGACAGUACCGGGAGAAUAAGCUCCGGCUAACUCCGUG